rnacentral:rRNA from 1 species
UACGAAGGGGACUAGCGUUGUUCGGAAUUACUGGGCGUAAAGCGCACGUAGGCGGAUUUGUAAGUCAGGGGUGAAAUCCCGGGGCUCAACCUCGGAACUGCCUUUGAUACUGCAAAUCUCGAGUCCGAUAGAGGUGGGUGGAAUUCCUAGUGUAGAGGUGAAAAUUCGUAGAUAUUAGGAAGAACACCGGUGGCGAAGGCGGCCCACUGGAUCGGUACUGGACGCUGAGGUGC